rnacentral:tRNA from 1 species
GUCGUCGUGGCCCGAGUGGUUAAGGCGACAGACCUUGAAAUCUGUUGGGCUCUGCCCGCACAGAUUCGAAUCCUGUCGGCGACG